rnacentral:rRNA from 1 species
UACGGAGGGUGCAAGCGUUAUCCGGAUUCACUGGGUUUAAAGGGAGCGUAGGUGGGCUGGUAAGUCAGUGGUGAAAUCUCCGGGCUUAACUCGGAAACUGCCGUUGAUACUAUCAGUCUUGAAUGUUGUGGAGGUAAGCGGAAUAUGUCAUGUAGCGGUGAAAUGCUUAGAUAUGACACAGAACACCGAUUGCGAAGGCAGCUCGCUAAACUGACAUUGACGCUGAGGCACGAAAGCGUGGGGAUCAAACAGG